AAUGUGUGUGUGUGUCUGUGUGUGUGUGUGUGUGUGUGUGUGUGUGUGUGUGGCGCGCGUCAUAUCCGGUUGUGAGGGGAAGCUGUGUCUGUGUCUGUCAGUGUGUGUGUACGUGCGUGUUUGCUCUCUCUCUCUCUCUCUCUCUCUCUCUCUCUCUCUCUCUCUCUCUCUCUCUCUCUCUCUCUCUCUCUCUCUCUCUCUCUCAUUUCCCCUUCUUUCUCCCCUUGUAUGACCUUCGAAAAUCCUCCUCCUCCUCCUCCUCCCCCGCUGUUAUCUCCACGUUGUAGUAACACUGGCAGACCACGAUAAGGACACCGUUGAGUCAGACAGGCGCCGCUACACGUGGUGAGAGAGAGAGAGAGAGAGAGAGAGAGAGAGAGAGAGAGAAUUUGAUUUAGUUUGAUUCGUAAAUUAUUGUUUGUCGGUAGAUUAUGAGAGAGAGAGAGAGAGAGAGAGAGAGAGAGAGAGAGAGAGA